rnacentral:lncRNA from 1 species
GAGCACCUAUAGCCUGCAAAGGACUCAAGACACAACCGAAAAGACGCAAAAGACGGACUUUGACACGAUAGAUGACUCAAAACAUGGACUAAACCAAGACUCGAAACCGUUAAAAACGCAACACAUCAAACUCCCCCCGACUUAAAUCUUUGCUUGUCCUCAAGGAAAGCAGAAAUCCUUAUCAAGAGAAGAGGUUUGAAAACACGAGAACUCACAUUUUCUUCGAGAUCAUGUUCUAUCAAUUGCCUGCAAACCACUAUCACACAACUCAUCAAACCGUACUAGACUGUACUUCGCCAUAACCGUAGCAACAAAAUUAAGUCCCGAAAUCUAAAAGAAUUUUCAGAAUCAGAUAACUUAACCUUUUAACAUUCAUUAGCAGUGGCGUGUAUUCUCACAAAGGGGGUAUCGAACACGUUAUGGGCUUGGUCAAAAAGGGCUAAUAUUUAGUGGC